ensembl:lncRNA
AUGGGAACCACACGUUUACAUUGUCAUGGGAACCACACGUUUACAUUGCCAUGGGAAACACACGUUUACAUUGUCAUGGGAAACACACGUUUACAUUGCCGUGGGAAACACACGUUUACAUUGCCGUGGAAACACACGUUUACAUUGCCGUGGAAACACACAUUUACAUUGCCGUGGAAACACGUUUACAUUGCCAAAGCAAGUGAAAUGAACAAGAAACAAAAGUGAGAAGAAACUAAAAACAACAUCAAAUGUCCAGUAAACAUGACAUCAUGAAGGAUUCACAAGGAUAAUAACGCUUCAUAUUAUCAGCUGUGUACAGUGUUUUUAAGAUUCACAAGGAUAACGAUGCUUCAAAUAGUAUAUUAUCAACUGUGUACAGUGUUUUUAACUUUUAACUAUGUGUAAAUAGUAGUAUGACUAGUAGGUGAAGAUAAGUAAUCAGAUGAAUAUAGGUUUUAUUUACAGUGUUGUCUCACUGGUUGACCACCUCUUGUGGCAACAGCUCAUCCAUCUUGCUGCUGUGACGGUACACUGGUAUUUCACCCAGUAGAUCUGGGAGUUUGUCAAAAAUGGGUUUGUUUUCAAAUUCGUUGUGGAUCUGUGUAAUCUGGGGGAAAUAUGUGUCUCUAUUUUGGUCAUACAUUUGGCAGGAGGUUAUGAAGUGCAGCUCAGUUUCCACCUCAUUUUGUGGGCAGUGAGCACAUAGCCUGUCUUCUCCUGAGAGCCAGGUCUGCCUACGGCAGCCUUUCUCAAUAGCAAGGCUAUGCUCACUGAGUCUGUACAUCUUAAUUUUUGGUCAGUCACAGUGGUCAGGUGUUCAGCCACUGUGUACUCUCUGUUUAGGGCCAAAUAGCAUUCUAAUUUGCUCUGUUCUUUGGUUGAUUAUUUCCAAUGUGUCAAGUGGUUAUCUUUUUGCUUUCUCAUGAUUUCAUUGGGUCUAAUUGUGUUGCUGUCCUGGGGCUCUGUGGGGUGUGUUUGUGUUUGUGAACAGAGCCCCAGGACCAGCUUGCUUAGGGGACUCUUCUCCAGGUUCAUCUCUCUGUAGUUGAGGGCUUUGUUAUGGUCAUUUACCAUCAUGAAAGGUUGCACCCUCCUAGGCCAUAUCAUCUCAAGGGAAUUUGCAUUUUUGUACCAACAAUAAGGUUUGACCAAUUUAGCUGCGGAACCCCUAACUAGACUAGAUUUAUACACUCUUCAUUACAUCUGAAUGGGCUGAAUAUUAGAGAGACAUAAAUUAACAAGGACAUCAUCUCCUGCUUUACCAAAUGGUUACAAGUACUUCACAAUAACUGAAGUUAGAUGUUACUUAACCUCCCUGGGAUUUGUGGGACGCGUCCCACUUGGCCAAAAGCCAGAGAAAAUGCUGAGCGUCAAAUUCAAAUAAAUAACUAUAAAAAUCAGACUUUCAUUAAAACACACAUGUAACAAAUUAAAGCUACACGUGUUGUGAAUCCAGCCACCAUGCCAGAUUUCAAAAAGGCUUUUCGGCGAAAACAAACGAUGCCAUUAUCUGAGGAUAGCACCCCUGUAAACAAAGAGAGAAAACAUAUUUCAACCCUGCAGGCGCGACACAAAACGCAGAAAUAAAAAUAUAAAUCAUGCCUUACCUUUGACGAGCUUCUUCUGUUGGCACUCCAUUAUGUCCCAUAAACAUCACAUAUGGUCCUUUUGUCCGAUUAAUUCUGUUGAUACAUAUCCAAAAUGCCCAUUUAUUUAAAACGCCCUCCGAUUUGACACACUGAACUCUAUCAGAGAAGUAGUUGGUGAACCAGGCGAGGCACCACCUCCACCUCAAGUUGACUAGAGUAAUGUAUUCAGUAUAGGUACCAAACAGGAUAACACAGUUUAGACCUGACUAUACUCCUAAUGGCCUAGUUCACUCAGUACCACAGAGAACACAGUUUAGACCCGACUAUAAUCCUAGUGGCCUAGUUCACUAGGUACCAAACAGGAGAACACAGUUUGGAUGGUGCAGUAUAUUGGACCCUAGACAGAGAACUGGCUUUGGUCUCUACUGGCUCGAUUUAAGAGUUCUCUAGAUGGUGC